GCGAGUGUGGCAUAGUGGUUUGAGUGUUGGACUACAGUUCUGGAGACCAGGGUUCAAUUCCCCACUUGGC